rnacentral:rRNA from 1 species
CCUACGGGCGGCAGCAGUGGGGAAUAUUGGACAAUGGGGGCAACCCUGAUCCAGCCAUGCCGCGUGUGUGAAGAAGGCCCUCGGGUUGUAAAGCACUUUCAGUGAGGAAGAACGCCUGGUGGUUAAUACCCAUCAGGAAAGACAUCACUCACAGAAGAAGCACCGGCUAACUCCGUGCCAGCAGCCGCGGUAAUACGGAGGGUGCGAGCGUUAAUCGGAAUUACUGGGCGUAAAGCGCGCGUAGGUGGCUUGAUAAGCCGGUUGUGAAAGCCCCGGGCUCAACCUGGGAACGGCAUCCGGAACUGUCAAGCUAGAGUGCAGGAGAGGAAGGUUGAAUUCCCGGUGUAGCGGUGAAAUGCGUAGAGAUCGGGAGGAAUACCAGUGGCGAAGGCGGCCUUCUGGACUGACACUGACACUGAGGUGCGAAAGCGUGGGUAGCAAACAGGAUUAGAUACCCGUGUAGUC